rnacentral:rRNA from 1 species
GUAGGUGGCAAGCGUUGUCCGGAAUUAUUGGGCGUAAAGCGCGCGCAGGCGGUUCUUUAAGUCUGAUGUGAAAGCCCCACGGCUCAACCGUGGAGGGUCAUUUGGAAACUGGAGAACUUGAGUACAGAAGAGGAAAGCGGAAUUCCACGUGUAGCGGUGAAAUGCGUAGAGAUGUGGAGGAACACCAGUGGCGAAGGCGGCUUUCUGGUCUGUAACUGACGCUGAGGCGCGAAAGCGUGGGGAGCAAACAGGGAUUAGAUACCCUGGUAGUCCACGCCGUAAACGAUGAGUGCUAAGGUGUUAGGGGGUUUCCGCCCCCUUAGUGCUGCAGCUAACGCAUUAAGCACUCCGCCUGGGGAGUACGACCGCAAGGUUG